AAAUGACACAUUGUCGACCCUUGGUGAAGUCAGAGCCAAUCUAACUGCUGAACAUGUCUGAAUCUCAAGAGUUAUUAAGGGCUUCCCUUCUUGCCUUUAUGACUUUUCUUCAGCCUACCAAUGCAAUCUUAAAUGUAUUAUCUUUAAGAAAUAAUUGUAAAACCUCAGGGGUUUUCCAGUUAAUGGAAGGGAGGCUAAACCACAUCAGAUUCUGAAAUGCAACAUUAAACCCUUGCAAUCAACAAAACCACCUCAAUUCUCAUCCAUCCAGUGCAGGAUCUAAUAUUGUUAUUAGAGAUAAUCAAAUUUCAUUGUGUAAAUUUAGGCUCAUGGUCAGAAUGGAAGCAGUAAAUUCUGCAAUAUUAAACAGUGAUUUUUCUUAGCCCCCUUUAUAUGUUCUUUCAUGGUGCACUGUCUUCACAAAUAAACCUAAACUAUUCAAAAAUCAAGGAACACAUCUGUCGCCCUAUUCUGAAAGAUGUACGCAAUGUUGUUUGCCAUCUCCACAGCCUUUCUUUAGUUUUAACUUGAUCUAGCGGAUAAGUUCCAUUUUAGAGAAUAAUAAAGCAGUAUCAACUGCAUAAACCAAACAGCAGGUACUAUUACUGUGACUUACACAGAUGGUUUACCUGACCUUUCUUUGUUCCUUGGGUAGGUUUCACUUUUGCAGAUUUACGACUUUUCCCUCUAUAUUUCAUUGACCCCCUAUGUUCAUUAUCAUAAAAAUGAAAACUAUUGAAUACAUGUUUAUGUUGGCAAAGUCCAAAAAGCCCACGACUAAAGGAUAAAGAGAUGCUACAAUGCACUGUGUGGAUCUCUAGAUCGUACACUAUAAAUAUUCAAGCACAGAUAACACGAAUAACUGAAUAAUCCUGGUGAGCCUCAGCUCUGGAGCCAGGUGCAAGAGGUUAAAACAGCUGGCUAGCCAUCUUUUAUUUUGUGUGCCUUCCUACCGGCUGAAACCGCAAACCCUGAAAACUAGCAGAUAGUCCCUCAAGGUUGAUAGUCUGAUUUUUUUCAUUUCAACCAGUUUAGUAGGAUCCCCCAGCAGAGAAAAGACAGAAACUCCUUAAAUACAGGCAGUUGAAUAGGAAGUGGAGCAAUGAUGAUUAAGGCUCUUCCCCCCCACACACCCCCCAACCUUCAACCCCCCGUUUAUUUCCACGAUCUUCUUUGUGCACCUUCCCAUCCAAAUGUUUGUAUUCCUUAUUUCAAAGAAAAGCACUCCGGAUCGUUCUGUCAGUUUUGCCAGUAAAUAUAAAGUAAAACAAGUGUUGAUGGCACUGAGAGUGUUACAUACCCAGGCUGUGUUUUUGCAUUGCUCUCAAUGGAAGCGAUCGAUGCCCAUGUCACAGUCGCGUCCCAAUCGCAGCCAAGUCUCUGCCUCAAUCUAACCAACAACAGGCAGGGCUGCAAAGGCUUCUCACUACCUCUUCCAUCCAUCCACCACCAAACUAAAAAUAUAAUGCUACAUAUGAUCUUUUUAAACACUCCAUCACCGCUCCUAAGGAUCGAGCCACUGCAAAUCCAGGGGAAACACGAUUGAAAAAAAAAAAAAAUACACCAUCAAAAAAAUCCCAACCUAACAACAGCCACCCCAAAAGCACCCGAGCCCUCUCUUUCCACUCUCUCGCUCUCCUCCUGCCAACUGCAUAAUCCUUGAUAAAACCGGAGCAAGGCUAAUAAAAAGAAAAUUAAAAAAAAAAAAAAAAAAAAAAAAAAAAAAAAAAAAAAAGAAAGAAAGAAAAAAGAGGAGGACGGAAUGGAGCCGAGGAAAUGCAACUGUCAGAAAACGGGAUGGUCAGACUUCCUGAGUGAACCUGCCUGUGUCUGGCUUAAUGUAAAUCUCCACCAUCUUCAGCCUGGCAAGUUGUCUUUUGGUUGGGCUUUUUUUUUUUUUUUUUUUUUUUUUUUUUUUUUUUUUUUUUUUUUUUUUUUUUGGUGGGGAGGGGGGUGUUAUGUUUGCGAUCUCUGCCUUGGUACCUAAGGAGGAAGAGGAGGAGGAGGAGGGUGUGUUACUGAAUGGUGGCUAAAGCCUCCUCGGGACGGCGCUGAGGUGAAACAGGCUGAACCCGACUGAUGUGGCUCCUCUCUCGGUUGGACCCAGUGCCCUAAGCAGCCGAUGAGAGACCCCCGGCCGCCCGGCUCGCAGGAAGCCCUCAUAAAUUAUUAAAUCGCACUUGAUCAAGUUAACAAUGGAGUUAACUACAAGCAGGUAUCUUUUUAGUGCUGAAAUGGACACACUAAUUGUGAACCAUGUGGUAAGGAGCUCCUUCUGAAAUAUGCAGCAGAUUUACCGGCAUUUAGCAGGCUGUGUGCUUUAAAGCUUCUCUUGCCUGUAAUCAUGUGAACGAACCUUGCACGUCCCACAGCCAGCUCGGGAUCCAGCACAGCACGUAACAGCAGCACUGAAACAGCCCCCACCACCAGGCAAGGGACAGAAAGGAGAUGGUGACCUGCAAGGGGAUGAGAGACCUCCCUUACCAGGAUUUGCUCACGGUUUUGCUUCUGGCAACUAACAUUUCCAUUUUUCUCAAAGCUUCUACAUCUGUGUCAUCAGACAAGGCCCCAUGAGUGGUGGCAGAGCAAACUGUAGCCUUCAUUUUCAAGUUCGAAGAGAAAGAAUUAUUUACAUGUCUAAAUCCCAGCACUGGCUCUUCAGAGGUCACUCUUUGUUGCCCACUGCUAUGAACCAUUAAAGCUUCCAAAAGCUCUAAAAGAAACAGGACAGGCUGGGGCAGAAAAGUCUUAUUGUUUUAAAUUUGUUUAAAUUCUAUUUUGUUGUAUUAUAUGAUUUUUGUCCUACCAGAGGAACACAGAAGAUGGGAUGUUUCUGUCAUUGCUUGCAUGAAUGACUACUUAAAUUGACUGUCAGAGCUUGCAGGACAAAUCUUUGACCCUUCUCAAGACUGUUUUAAACUGAAGGAGAUUAUGUUUUAGUUGAUCAGGACUGUAGACUGUUUUUAAAGGAAAAUUACUGAUUCAUGCAACGAAUUUUACUGUUUUAUCACCCUUCCAACUCAGUAUUUAUAUAUCUUUUUGGUUACAAAUUUAGAUAAAUUUUUAACUAUGUGUUUUAAUGUUGUCCUAUCUUUUUUUUUCCCUUUCCUGUUUUAGACAUGUUUUCCUGAAUCAAACCCUUGAAUUUAGUGACAAUUAGUACAAUUUUCAGACAUAUCAGUAAGAGUUUCUGUCCUAAAUGUGGGAAUGUAGGUGUUAAGAGGAAGCACAGGGAAUGGCUUUCUUUUCUAUUCACAAAGGAAGCACUAAGACAUCAAGGUUAUUCAACAGAAAUUAAUAAAUGCAGCCUGGAAAGUUAUUAUUUUUCCAAACUGUGAGAAGAUCUCUGAAAUAAUAAAGAUAACAUAAAAUACAACCUGGAGAAUUUGUCGAAUUUUCUUUAAAAAAAAAAGUGGAAACAACAACAAAAAAAAGGCAUUUCACAGUGAAAAAAAAUUUUAGGCAGGGGAAAAAAGGAUUUGUUUGACAGAGUGUUGGGGUAGCUUGAAAGAAUGAUACAGGGCCUUUUCUUUGCUGCUGCUUCAGAAUUGUGUUGGGCAUUUAAUCUUAGUUUCCCUGCCUGCAAAUAGAAGAUGA